rnacentral:rRNA from 1 species
CACGUAGGGGGCGAGCGUUGUCCGGAUUUAUUGGGCGUAAAGAGCUCGUAGGCGGUUUGGCAAGUCGGGUGUGAAAUUUCGAGGCUCAACCUCGAAACGCCACUCGAUACUGCCAUGACUGGAGUCCGGUAGAGGAGUGCGGAAUUCCUGGUGUAGCGGUGAAAUGCGCAGAUAUCAGGAGGAACACCAACGGCGAAGGCAGCACUCUGGGCCGGUACUGACGCUGAGGAGCGAAAGCGUGGGGAGCAAUCAGG